rfam:Triticum aestivum genome assembly, contig: Triticum_aestivum_CS42_TGACv1_scaffold_376201_5AL
CAACUACUCCCUCCGUUCCGAAUUACUUGUCUUAGAUUUGUCUAGAUACGGAGGUAGAUACCUCCGUAUCUAGACAAAUCUAAGACAAGUAAUUCGGAACGGAGGGAGUACGAU